CCCACCAGGAACCAAACUUGCUCCGUACUGACACUGAAACAAAAGCCUGCUUGGAUUCGGACUUCCCCCAACGGGGCGAGGAACGAGCACUGAGCGCUGCCUGUUCACAGCCAGUUUCUCCACCAAAAGUGACCACCACAUAAGCAACCACACCAGCUAGGAUCUCUGCAGGGAAAACGAGCCCCAUAACGAGCUUGGGCUCAGUCUCAGCUGCGCCCAAUUUGCUCCCUCCACCUGGCCAGCACCUGACUGGCCCCAGGCCUGCUGGGGGAUAUAGGGCAGUUUGCCGGCAGCGUGCCUCAUGGCUGCGGGGCUCGCAGGCGUCAGGCCCCAGCUCCCUGCAGGGAGGAUAGCACCUUGCUGUGGAGGCUCCCACGUAACCGGCGCUGGUUCCCUGAACUACAGAGGCUAAAGAACGGGCCCGUGCCGGGCUCGGACACCGAGGAGGAGGUUUCACACACGUUUCGUUCGACUAAGACCAGUUCCCGAGCCGUGAUCCACAGAGGCUGGGGCCCCGGCUCGGCCCCGCGGGGCCAGAGCCGUCCCGUCACGUCGCGUCGCGUCCAGGUCCCAGCGGGAGCCGGGCGCAGCCUCUCCGGGCUGGUGCGGCGGCGCCCGGGUGCCUGUCCUCUGCAUCAUAGGUGCGGCCAGGGCUCGCCCGCUUCCUGACAGACAGAGCCAGCGUAGCAGAGACCAGAGAGAGAGUUUCCUGGGCACUAAGGUUUUUGCCACUUUGAAGAAGGUAUCGAAUCUUUUGCCAAACGGGUGACGCCACGUGGGACUCGCUGCCUCGCGGAGCCGUGCGCGGGGCUGGCUCCGCGCGGGCACCUGCAGCCAGGCCCGAGCUCUGGUUUGGGAGGAGCAGGAGGCCGGGGCUGGGGCAGAGCCGCGAUCACCGAGGACCAGGCCAGGCUGACGGUCCCUGGGGCGCUUUAAACGAAGGGACCGGUGGCGGCUGGGCAAGGACGGGGAGAAGGGGUGGCGGGCACUGGGCGGGAGCCCGAGCGCGGGGCCUGCGCAGCCACGUGCGUGGGACGGCUGCGGGGGCACGCCUGCUUGCGCCUCAUCAGCCCACGUUCAAGGCGCCGCGCGCAGGAGGAAGGGAAACUAUUCCAAAGAUGCACUUUGGUUUAACAAAGGCAGCUUCGCCUGGGAGAUGGAAUAUAAGACCCCCCCGGGUGGGUUGUUUUUGUUCCCUUGAAACCCCUGGUAACUUAAAACUGAGAUGGUUCUAGGUUGAUGCAAUAAAUAGGUAGACCGAUUUGAAAUUGAGAGAGAGAGAGAGAGAAAUAGUAAAAGAAAAAAAAGCCUCAGUGAAAUUCUCUUUCCAGCUUGACUACAGCCUGAUUCUUCACAGAUCAACAGGAGUCUCCAAAAUCAGCUGCAGCAGCCCUCUGCUCACUGGGCUUGGUUAAUAAAGCACUAAAUCACUUAGCCUUUGGCAUACGGUUAAGACAACAAAACAA